UACGUAGGGGGCAAGCGUUAUCCGGAUUCACUGGGCGUAAAGGGAGCGCAGGCGGCACGGCAAGUCUGGUGUGAAAGCCCGGGGCCCAACCCCGGGACUGCAUUGGAAACUGCCGGGCUGGAGUGCCGGAGGGGUAAGCGGAAUUCCUGGUGUAGCGGUGAAAUGCGCAGAUAUCAGGAAGAGCACCGGUGGCGUAGGCGGCUUACUGGACGGCAACUGACGCUGAGGCUCGAAAGCGUGGGGAGCAAACAGG
rnacentral:rRNA from 1 species